rnacentral:rRNA from 1 species
CCUACGGGAGGCAGCAGUGGGGAAUAUUGGACAAUGGGCGAAAGCCUGAUCCAGCAAUGCCGCGUGAGUGAUGAAGGCCUUAGGGUUGUAAAGCUCUUUUACCAGGGAUGAUAAUGACAGUACCUGGAGAAUAAGCUCCGGCUAACUCCGUGCCAGCAGCCGCGGUAAUACGGAGGGAGCUAGCGUUGUUCGGAAUUACUGGGCGUAAAGCGUACGUAGGCGGUUAUUCAAGUCAGAGGUGAAAGCCUGGAGCUCAACUCCAGAACUGCCUUUGAAACUAGAUAGCUAGAAUCUUGGAGAGGUGAGUGGAAUUCCGAGUGUAGAGGUGAAAUUCGUAGAUAUUCGGAAGAACACCAGUGGCGAAGGCGACUCACUGGACAAGUAUUGACGCUGAGGUACGAAAGCGUGGGGAGCAAACAGGAUUAGAUACCCUGGUAGUCCACGCCGUAAACGAUGAUAACUAGCUGUUCGGGCUCUACGAGCUUGAGUGGCGCAGCUAACGCAUUAAGUUAUCCGCCUGGGGAGUACGGUCGCAAGAUUAAAACUUAAAGAGAAGUUACGACGUGAGAGACGCGACGAGACACGAGGAGGGAG